rnacentral:rRNA from 1 species
UACGAAGGGGGCUAGCGUUGCUCGGAAUCACUGGGCGUAAAGGGUGCGUAGGCGGGUCUUUAAGUCAGGGGUGAAAUCCUGGAGCUCAACUCCAGAACUGCCUUUGAUACUGAAGAUCUUGAGUUCGGGAGAGGUGAGUGGAACUGCGAGUGUAGAGGUGAAAUUCGUAGAUAUUCGCAAGAACACCAGUGGCGAAGGCGGCUCACUGGCUCGAUACUGACGCUGAGGCACGAAAGCGUGGGGAGCAAACAGG